GAGAUGGUGAGGACGUGGCUCCGUGCUGUGCGGUGCUGAAUUUUGGGACCCAGCAGUCUGCACAAGUAUCGGAUGCCAUCACCGGAAAAUCGGUACCUCUCAUGCAGGUAAUCAUCUGGAAACUAACGGUUCUGACCUGUCCCGUAACACUCUCACAUCGGAAAGCCCUUCUCAGUAUAAGUGCUUCCUCAUCCAACACGUCAUCUAAAAAAGGGCAUGCCAUUGUGAAGGAAGAAACACAAUGGCAUGAAUGGGACUUUAUAUAUUGCCUUGUCAUUGACUUAAUUGAAACCAUCUCUGCAACCUCAUCAGCCAUUUCUAAUCAUCUCAAAGGUGUGCAAUAAUAUACAUAUUCAUCAAACCUCGGACAGCAAUAUGAACAGUAGGCCUAACAGUAAUAAUGACUAUCACAUGAAUAAUUAUAAAAAUGAUAAUGGUUACAAUUAAAAUAACAGUGGACCUACUUAAAGGUCCAGUGUGUAAUAUGUGUGGUAUUUAGCAGCCUCUAACGGUGAGGUUCUAGAUUGAAGCACUCCGCCGCUCACCCCUCUCCUCCCUGAGACUUUGGAGAGAUUCCAGAAGCUACGGUGGCCUUCAAGGACAAGAAGCUAUUUGCUGAAGAUGUCAUCGUCCACGACACUCCGAGCAUUUCUAACAAGUCAAGUGAUGAGAGUCAAGUACCGGAGGUUAGAGGGAGAGGAAGAGGGUGAGUUAGCAGUGCUUUUGCAGGCAGGGCCAGGCGAGGGAGGAGAGCAAACACCGGCACCGCAGAAGCAAGGGAAGAGGCUGGAAACCCCCCAAAAGGACCAAAGCAACUGAGAGACUUCUUGAAGAGAUGACCUUGGAGGAGCACAGGCAGCUCACUAGUGAACUGCUUCAGAGGCAGCCAGGGUUAAUUUUUGAUGCCUUGAUGAUGCAUCAGUGCAGGCAUGGUGUCCCACCGUUUGCUGGAGUGCCAGGGGUACCAUGGUGUACUUGUAGUAACUGUACAGACAUGCCUACAGACCGGGAGAGGAAAUGCUGUGGCCAGUACCCUGCAGAUUGUGUGAGCCUAAUACCGCACUUCUCCCAGUACUGUCUUGAAAAUGCUUUUUAUGCAUUCACAGCCAGUACUGGGAGGACAUUAUGGUAUUUGGCCAAACCAGGAAGCCUGGGGAUGACAACGGGGAGUACCGUUAUGCUGCCUAUAGAUAUUUCAUCUAUUGACAGCAUGGCUCUUUAGGCCAGGGAAACCGACUUGUCAUCCCCAGUUGCUGUGUUUGGAGGAUCAGAGACAAGUUCCCUGAUCCUCCAAAGACAUCACACUGGUUUCACACCUGUCCUCUGAGUUUCCCUCCAGCUCCUCUGGAACGUCCACACAGUAUCUCAGGUACUCACACACCUGCCUGUUCAUCAUCAAGGCAUCAAAUCAUCUCAUAUUUAUUUGUUACAUUUCUGA